CCCCUAAAAUUCCUUUCAUGUGCAAUGAAAGUCCUGGGACUUAGACCUGACCAGCACAGCAGAAUUGGCAAACAGAAUUCUGAGUGAUGGGAAGCUUUCCCUGCAGAAAGGGAACAAACCCAGCCCUGUGGCCCAGCUGCCAGGUCCUACAGACACUCCUGACACCAGAACAAAGCACAUUUCCCAGGCACUGCCAAGUUCCACACACACACUGAAACCCAAGGCUUCCCCUGCCUCAACAGGGAUUUUCCUAAAGAAUCCAUCUCCUCUGCCAGGUUUUCUGCUGAAGAGGCACCUGUGGGGAGCAGAGCAGGGCUGGGCUGGUUUUUGUUUUCCAGAGACCUCUGAGCAGUGCAGAGCCAUCAGAGUCUGAGUUAUGGCUCCUCAGACUCAGGGAGGAAGAAGUUCCUUUGCAAGAUCUCAGAAGUAAGAGGCUGGCUGAAAAAUCCAGGCUGGACUUCAGAUUUGGAAAAUACCCAAACUAAAUGCUGCCCUGGAUUUUGCAAUGCUGCCUACUAGAAAUGCCACCUCCAGCUUCAGGCACAUCUCCAUUUCAUGGACAGCUUUAUGCUCAGCUCUGUGAAAUGCAGAAAAUGCUACAGAGUGCAGGUGUCUCUAACACUUCCUGGGAAACAGAAGCUGCAGUGAGGAGCACCAGCAUGGUACAAGUCUU